rnacentral:rRNA from 1 species
UACGGAGGGGGCAAGCGUUGUUCGGAAUUACUGGGCGUAAAGAGCGUGUAGGCGGCCCGAUAAGUCCGCUGUGAAAGUCCAGGGCUCAACCCUGGAAUGCCGGUGGAUACUGUCGGGCUCGAAUCCGGAAGAGGCGAGUGGAACUCCUGGUGUAGCGGUGGAAUGCGCAGAUAUCGUAAGGAAGACCAGUGGCGAAGGCGGGUCUCUGGACAGUUCCUGACGCUGAGGCACGAAGGCCAGGGGAGCAAACGGG